UCAAGCAAUCCUCCUACUUGGCCUCCCAAAAUGUUGGGAAUACAGGCAUGAGUCACUGCAUCUGGACUCCCUAUAAAUUUCUUUGGCCAGAAUUGGGUCACACACUCACUCCUGAACUGGAAAGGGAAAUGAAGUGACUAUGCAGGUCCUCUGGGGUGAAAACCAUGCUGGAGUGGAGGCUGCAAUGCCCACCACACGCAUCAGUGGCCAGCCUAUGGGUAGGUUGCGAUUAAGACAGGUGCCCUCUGCUGGUGCAUACAGGGAUUAUCCCCAGCCCCAAACCCACUGAGGCCAAAGGCAGAGAGCUUUGACCUGGCAUGGCAGGUGCCAGGACUGACACAUCUGUGCUCUCCUCAGGCGACAAUUUCUGUGGCCCUCAAGCUAUGCCUGGCCUCAGACUGAAGCAUCAGCUUCCAAAAUGAUGCAUUGUUCUCCCUGACUCCCACACGCUCUGGCUCACAGAGGAGCCAGCACCCCACCCCGGCGUUGGCCCCUGAAUCAGGGAAGGGAGACUCUGCCUGAGUCUGCUGUUGAUGGGGCUUUGCCAGCCCCGCAGGGCUCAUUUUCUCUGUCUCCUGCUAAAUUCCCUGGCUGCUCCUCCGCUGUCAGGUUGCCAAGCCCUGAGUGUCUCCUGGCUCCGUCUGCAGCAGGAAAUGGGCCUGACAAUUGCUCUUCCAGAGCCAGUGAUUUUUCAAUAUGUAGUUGCAUGGAUCCCACCCAUGCUUCAUCUCCAAAACCCCUGCUUGUGUUCAGCUCUGAUUUACUAAGCACGUACUACAGGCCUGGCUCUGUACUCAGCACUGCAGGUGUGGGGAGCAGUCAGGGCACAGAGGAGGCAUCUGAUGUGUUCUCCGCUUUCGUCCUCAUACUCCAGCCAUAGUUGACGGCCACACACUUGGAAGUGAGCUUCCUAGCCAAGGUGGCCCUGGCGGACUACAGGGCACACAAGUGGUCCAGAUUAAAAAACAAUACCGUGUGGGUUCAGAGAAGGGCAAGGUUGACACAGGCAGUACAUGUGCUGAUUAUUCUGUCUGCCUCCUACUCACCCCUGUGUCUACUCUUCCCUGCCAUGUGCCCUGGAUGCAAUGGCUGCAGGCUGCAGCAACAGGCCCUUUGCCCCAGCUUCCAGUGGACUUGCUGGUGAAGCGGCAGGCAGGAAGGCUCAGAGCAGAGGAAAAGUGAGGCCGGGAUUUAUUUUCCCUGCUUCCUCCCUGUUUUGCUGUGAUUCUGGCAUUGGCAGGUUCCUCCAGAGCUACAGCUCUGACAGGACAAGGGGAGCUGAUGGCUUCCUGCUAUUGCUGGUCCCUGUUUCCCUAUUGGGUUCCCUGAGCCUCCCCACUCUGGAAGCAGCCCCUUUUUUCUUCAGAGUUCUCAAGGCUGUUUGGAUGCUGACUGGCAGACCAUGUUUAGGAAGUGCUUCCUGCAGGAGCAGCACCUGCAUCUGGGCUCCUGAGAUGAGCUGAAGCUGGAUAAGCAGAGAAGAGGAAAAUGGGCUUUCUAGGGGCAGCACAGCCCCAUCAAUGUUCACGAAGAGAUGAAGUGAGCGCUGGAAGACACUGCCUAGGCAGGGAGGGAAGGUGGAAAACAAGCAAAGGCUCCCUGUGGAAGCCCUUGACUGCCAGGCCAGGGAACUUGGCCUUUGUCCCAUAGGCUACAUGGAGCUGCUGGAAGCAAAAGUUUUGACUUUGUUAUUAAUGGCUUUGUUUUGGUUUUUAUUUCCACCUUUUCCUUGUUAUUGAUUUUAUUAUCAUCAUUAAUAACAACUACUAUGUAGUUAAUCCUUACUGUUAGGGCUUGAUUGGGCCCCCUUUCAUUAGUAUGUUGAAGUCCUAACCCCCAGUCCCUCACGAGUGUGACCUUAACUGGAGACAGGGUCGUUAAAGAGUUAAAAUGAGGAUGGGCCCUAAUCCACUAUGACUGGUGUCAUUACAAGAAGGGGAAAUUUGGACAUGGAGACACACAUAGAGGGAAGAUGAUGCCAAGGGAGAGGAAGACGGGCACAUCCACAAGCCAAGGAGAGAGGCCUGGAACAGAUCCUGCCCUCACAGCCCUCAGAAGGAAACAACCCCCCAGCAGCUUGAUUUUGGGCUCCCAGCCUCCAGAACCAUGCGAUAGUAAGUUUCUGCUGUUUAAGUCUGUGGUUUCUUAUGGUAUUCCGAGGAAACUGACGCACUCAUCAUGGAACCAUCUUGUGCUGAGCAGUGCAUCAUCAGACGUGUUCUCACUCCAGCUGCACCUUGUGGGUGAAACCUCUGGCCUGUCUCUGCCCCAGCACACUCUCAUUCUGGCCACAGCACCUAGCACUCCAACACUUUCCCUUGGUUAUUAACAUAUUUGUUUAUUGAGCACCUAUCAUGUGCCAAGCACUAUUCUAGGUCCUGGGGAAACAAAACAGACAAAAACUCUUGCCAUCUUGGAGCUGACGUCUGAUGAUUCUGUAUUUGUUUCCUGUCUGCCUCCGCCAGAGGAAGAACCGCUCUUGAGGGGGGCUGUGUCUGUUGCACUCACCACAGUGGAACACCUGUGGAAUGCAUGCGAAGGAAAUGAAGAGUAAAACCUUGACUCCCCUUGCCCAUUUUGGUUUCAAUCACGUCUGAAGACCUGACUCACUUAAAAGAUCCCUGGGCCUGUUGAUGAGGGCGACUGACUUGCCAAGUGAUAGUUGGUCCAAGGCCCUCUGGCCAUGGUGUGAGGAACAGGGCUUGGUGGCCUGGGGGGAAGAAGGCAGCUGGUGUGUGGUGUGGUGGACUGCUGUCACUACCCUCCUUGCUCAGUUUGCAGCCCUGAAAUUUGAGCUUUCAACUGCACUGUCUGCUGGAGGCAGGAAGGAAAGGAAAGAUGUUACCAGCUUUCUGGAGGCCCAAGUUGUAGGACAUAGAAAGCAGGUUCUAGAUGCUGAGAGAAUUCUUCCACCCCAUUUUCUGGGAAUUCUUCUCGUAGACAUUAUUUCCCCAUGCUCUCCUCUCUUGUUCCUCCCAAAGUCCUAAGACCCUUCCUGCCAGCCCCUCCUCUGCCGCAUCUGCUCUCUGUGCGGCCUGAGAGUGCAGCCCCAUUUUCGGGUCUCGUGCCUUCUUUUCGGCCCUGUGAUCCUGAGCCUGGUCACCUUGACAGUGUAAUUAUACCUGAGUUACUCUGAGCCCUGCCAGACACGGGAUUUCUUAGCCCACAACAACCAGGGGUGAAGAGAGCUGAAAUGCUCACAUAAAUUAGUGGGGACACCAGCCUCAGGGUGAUGUGCCCUCCUCCCACACCCACAUGCCAGACCCUGAAAUCUGGACAGCCAGCCCUGCUGACCAGGGAUCAAACACAAGUUCUCAGGAAGCUCGAUGCUAGCUGUGGAUCUCUUUCUCUGCCAUGAGAAACGCUGUCCCAGUAAAACCAUGGUCCCAUGGAUAACAGUCAUGCCCCUUCUGGCAAAGUAUGAAAGUUUGUGAAUGAUUCAUACACUAAGUUUUUUUAACUAGAGUGGAUUCUAGGAUACCCCAUAAUCCCCUCACACUCAUUUUUGUUCCGAUUGGCUUUCCUGGGUGGGAAAGAAAGGAGUAGGAGGCAGCCGUAGGUGGGGAAUUGAGCACAAGUGUGGGCUGGUCCACAGAAGUGUGUCACUCUUAUAACCAUCAUCAUCUUGUGUGUUGUGGCAGAAAACACUGAGAACCAAACCUCUUUCGGGUUGUUAAGAGAUGGACUUCUGGAAGAUCCAUUAACAUAGUGCUUUGGAAACCAGCUUGGAAAAUGUGACAUUUUGUCACUUUGAUCUGCUAAGCAGCUUACAAACAUCCUCCAGCUCCUUCCCUCCACUCCCUCCAACUUCGCUUCAGCCCCACCAUCUGAAUUUUCCAAACAAGACCAGACCAGGUUCACAGAGGUUUCCAGAGCGCAGUGACAGUGCCCACUCCUGGAAGAACACAAACCUGGGGAGAGAAUCCACCAAACUGUUUUAGUUUCAGAGACAGAUACUCAGCUACAAUGGAGGAUGAAAGCCAGACCCAUACUCAACUGGGCCUAGGAUUUCACUGAAACCAAGAGGAACCUGCAUCCAAACUGGAUUCUAGAAGAAAAGGAGAAGUCUCUCCACUGCCUCUUACUCACUACCUCAAGAUCCUUGAUUGGAAAAAGCAAAUGAGGGUCUGGAAAAAGAUCAUUGCCUCAGAAGACUUGAGGAGAAAACGUGUGAUUAGAAUAGGUGUCUGUUUUCUGCGAAUGUGAGCACCAUUAUGCUUAGGCAUCAUUUCCAAGCAAAAAGAAUCCAUGUUCAAAAUGUCCAAGUUGUUGUCUCCCAGGAAAACACAGCUGUUGAGUGAUGGUCCAAGGCCACUGGAAGUGUAGCAGGACUGGUCACAGACAAAAUCUCUCAGACACCAGUUUUAGGAAGGAAGAGGCUUUAAUCAGCUGGGAGCAUCGGUAGACUUGGGUCUCAAGAUCUGAGCUCCCCGAAGUCAAGAUUCCUGUCCCUUUUAAGGGCUUACAGCUCUAAGGGGUCCACAUGAAAGGGUCAUGAUACAUUGUGCAAGCAGGGGCUAUGUGAUGGGGGCUGCAUGCACUGGUUAUCAGAACAGAACAGAACCAAACAGGGAGUUACACAAUGCUUCCUUAUACAUUAUCUGGAAUCUAUAGAUAACAUAAGCGAUUAGGUCAGGGGUCGAUCUUUAACUACCAGGCCUGGGGUGUGGUGCCGGGCUGUUUGACUAUUGAAUUUCACUUCAGCCUUUUCUUUAACUCCUACUUUUUUCUUUGCUUUGAGGCAGAAAUUAGGCAGAAGACAAUAUGAGAGGUGGUCUCCUUCCUUAUUUCCCCCCUUUGAGAAUCUCACUUAUUAGUGGGAGUUCUCAUCUUCAUCCUCACUAUCUAGGUUUUCUUGUAAGACAGAUCAAUAGUAAUGCAUGUAGUACACUUGUGCUGAAGUAUUUUGAUGGACUAAGGUAGUAACAAAACUUUUCAUUACUUGAAGGAGCAAGAGCAGCCCACAGGGAAGCAAAAAGCCGUUUUUUUUUUUUUUUUUUUGGACUUAGGAUAGUUCAGAACUGGUGAGGUGUGCUCACAAUGAGGUUUCCUCUAAAAGUUAUUUUUCUACUUUCUUCUGUUAGCAAAGCCGUUGCCACUACAGAUUGAAUGUAUUUGGGCCAUCCACAGGGUACUGGGUUAAGGAUUUUUGAUAGGAAAGGCUACGGGUUGUCAGUGGCUUCAGUGCUUUCAGGCUACGCCCUUGUUUACACUGACAACAAGGUAGUAUUGGAGUGUUAUAGGGUCACGGAGAAGACCUUUAUCAAUUAAAGGUUUAAAUUUACCUUGGCUUUUAAAGGAGUAGGGUACACUGUU